rnacentral:misc_RNA from 1 species
UCCCUAGGCACCGGUUUGGUCAUCUUUGUAUCGUCUCUUUCUGAGACGCUGCUAGAAAUAUCACAAUACCACAAAGAACCGCCCUCUGGACCCGUCUACGGAUACCGCUACGGAUGGUGCUUUUUCACCGCGGGGGUCGCCUUCAUAAUGACCAACAUGGCGGCCGUUUUCUCCAUAUCUGGCUAUCUUAAUAGGUUCUCCACUGUUGACGAAAUGAUUUUUUCCUCCUACGGAAUUUAUCUCAAAGCUUUUCGUGGAGUUUUCGAUAAAAUAUUUUCAUGGGAUCGGAAAUACUUGGAAAAAUACUCGGACCUCUUCAAACAGUGCAUUAUUUUA